UUAAUAGUCAUGUGACUUUUUUUUCUGCCAGCCAUGUGCUCCGUAUCAUUUUACUCUGAAAUAACUAUGCGGAUUUCAGCUCAACCCUCCCUUUGCUUAUAAUGCAUGACAUACCCCGUGAGGGAGCCUGAGAACAGACUCCCUUGAAAAGCAAGGUUCUCAUAGUUGGCCUGUAACCAUGGAAGCAGAUGCCGUUUUCUUCUUACCCUGCUUACCUCUUUGCAGCCUCGAGCUGCUCCUUAUUGUUAAAAGGGGCUUAAUUCCAGAAAGGUGAACUUGAACUGCCUCGAGGUAAUUUCAGUGAUUUGUAAAAAUGGUAUUCUCAAGCACUGAAAUAUCCUUAAAAGCACAUAAAUUCAUGGUGGUUUAUGAAAGGCACAUGAAAUUACUAUGACUCGGCAAAGGGGAGGUCCAUAGCAGAAUAAAGAAGGUUAUUGUGACAGAUGAAACAUAAUUCACAAUGAGUACUCUUUUCAUCCAGCCUUAAGCAGCAGAGGAUUACUUUCAAGCUGAAUUUUAUGGCAGAACAUAUGAACUGAGUUGUUUUUUCUUUGUUUUUUUUUUUAACAUGCAAGGAUAGAGCAAAGACAGAAAAACUCUCUUCAAUUGCGUGGUGUUUAUUUUGUGUGUAUCUCUUUGGGGCUCUUAAUUUGUUUCAUCUAAAACAGAAGAUAUGCUGGCCAGCAGAGUCUGAUGCAACCGAGGGAGUAGAUUGGGAGGGUAGGAAAUAUGAAAUUUAAAGCAAUAAAAGUUGUGGUUUUCCUGUGUAUAUAAUGAAUGAUACAUGAGGAGUUAAAUAUAUUUCUACAUUUUUGGCAUACAUAUGAAAUAAAAAUGAUACUUUUUUCAACAAAUGCAUGAGCUGCAAAAGUAGGUAAAUUUUAUUUCAUAACAUACUUUUGUUUAGAUAACAAUUUGUAGUCUCAUAGUCUUUAUUAGAAGUAAUAUGUUAGAUUUUUGAUGCCAUUAGCUUUUAUAUGAG
rnacentral:lncRNA from 1 species